CGCUAGUGCACUAGGAUUGCAAACGUCAGCUCUGAAAUAAAAAGCAGGAUAUUUCUGCCCCGCUCCUCUAUUCCGGAAGCUGGGAGGUUCUGUGGGAGAAAGGACCUGCACCCAAUAACUCAAUUUAAGAUUUAAGGUUUUGAGGGGCGUGGGGUUGGAAUCGCCUUGGAGAAACGGGUUUGCCUGCUUACCUGAGCCAAAGGAAGUUGCCCUCAAAGGCAGGUCAGCAAUCAUACCCCGCCAAAAGCAAAUGCACAUCAAAGUAACUUCCUUUAAAUGAGAUUACUGUAGUUUCCAUGUCUUCCACAUUAGUAAAUAAAUAUUUGGAAGACUUCGAAUUUGUGAUUUACGUUUAAAUAUAUUUCACCAACAUUGUUUAAUUAAAAAAAAAUCCCAUCUAAGAGAAGGUUCCUAUAGGAAAUUGGCCCUUUAACUCAUACACAGAUUACCCUCGGCACUUUCAGAAAACAACACAGUGACCAGUAUAUUCUGUCUUUUUGAUACAGCCAGAAGCACCCUGAAAGCUGAGACCUAACUGUGCUUUUGGAAAAUAAGCUUUUAGGAGUUGAAUGACCUUGUCUACUUCUUUUAGUCAGAAUAAUGUUGGCAUGUCUAUUUUAGGUUAAAAAAAAAUACAAAUUCUAAAAAGUGACUUUAAAGGCCCACUUUGAAAGCCUUAGCAUUUAAACUAACAUUAGAUUUAAAAGAAGGGCUUUUCUCCCCCAUUAUAGGAAGCUGUGUAAAAUCAUGUGUGAGGUUGUGAGGGUCAAAUGGAAGUCUAAGAUAAAGUUCUGCCAAUUACUGGUGUCUUUAAGCUUCCACCAGCAGCCAAGCACAGUGCAGAUCAUGAGUCCUUCAAAAUACGGGGUGGUUUUAAUGCUCUAAGUUGGUAUGAUUACUUUUUCUAAAGAGCUCAAAGUGCUUUGGUGCCAUAGUAUGAAUUUCAUUACCCAUUGUGAGACACAAAGGGGGUUAGCAAUGAUUCUGUUUGCACCCUGGAAGCCAAAGGCAGGUUACUCACCCACUUAGUUCCCUACCACAAGACCUUGAAAGAAACUGGAACCCCAGGUCUCCAGCCCAGAGAUUUUGUUGGAAGUUUCCAUUUGCAGGAAAUGACUGCAGGGCACAUGUGGGAAGUGACAGGAAUUUGAGGACUAACAUUUUAGUUUUCCUCAUUUCUUUUUAAAUCUGAGCAAUUGUUCAUUGAUCGAUAAUCUAUGUUCUUACAUUCAGAUAAAUAAAAACACCAACUGGCUAUUUUGUUCUUACUUAGUUUUAUGUGUAUGUCCAGGCAUUUGCCACUGCUCCUAAAUAGCUCUCCCUGAAGUCUUCUGGUCAUGAGUUAGGUUUCUUAUCCAGAAGCUCAUGUAGUGCCAGAGCUUAGCUCUCCUAUGACAACACAAUCACAUUAUUGAAACAUCUAUUUAGGGAUCUGUCUUCUCUAAUAGAUUAUAAACGCCUUGAGCUUGGGUAUCGUGAUUUAAUGAUGAAUCCUCCAUGGUAUCUGAAUCCCAGAAUCCUACAAUCCUGCAUGGUAUCUGAAACAUACUAUGCUCUUAAAAAAAAAAAAAAAAAACUUUGUAAAUGGAACUUCCCUCAAGGAGUCAGGGUUUAAGUCAAACAUGUUUCCCUUUCAAAGCCGUGGGCAUGAGAAUAGAGGCUGUUAGGAGACACAGUAGUAGUUGACUGCAAAAGUGUCUGUCAGUCAGUUGUGUGGCCCAAGACUCUUUUUAUCAGUUCCAACAACUGAAAAAUGAGAGGGUUUUAGUGGAAGAUCUCUGUACUGCUAAUAUUUUAAGAUCUCGAAGUCUUUAUUGAGCACCUAGUAUGUGUACAACACUAUGCCAGUUACUAAGAGAGAGAUGAAAAAAUAAGAUAUCUCCAUUGCCCUAAGAGAGCAUAAAAUCUUAUCUCAAGGAAAAACAAGGCAAACACUCCUAGCCUACCUUUACAGACACGCACAGACAUGAGUUAACACAGUUGUAAACUGUUCUAAAGAAGAUAAAGGCUCAAGGAGUGAAAAGGCAUGAAAUAGAAACAAAAGCAACUGACCUAUGAGUUUGGGCAAUAAUCAGUAAUAAUACCAGCUAAAGUGUAUCUAAGGCUUAUAGUGCCAGGUACUAUGCAAAAUGAAUCAUAGGAGCUGCACCUUUUGUUCAUUUUACAAAUGGGGAAACGGAGGUUUAGGAGAGUUUAGUGACUCGUUCAAGGUGACAUACUAAUAAGUGGUAGGGCUGAUAUUCAAAGAGUUCUCACCUGACUCCAAAGUGCAUCUUCUCAACCAAUAUUAGAGAUUAUUAGCCCAGACUUCCCUAUUUUAUAAUUGAGGGAUUUCAUUAGAGCACUAGAGGAGGAAGCUACCCUUCCAGUAAAAACUAGACUCCUAGUCUAGUGCUCUAUGUAAUUAAGUAAUAUGCUUAUGUUUGCUAUUUUUCUGGUUUUUCUCUUUCCCACAAAAUAUGUAAUAGGAGACGGGAGGUCAGGAAAAGGGGAGAGAGAGAAAAAGAGAGAAGUUGCUUCUUUUGAAGAUGUCCAGAAUCCACAGUAGUCUACCUGCUCAGACUCAAUGGGGUUUUAUUUGUAACCCCCAGUCUAGUGGGCAGCCCUGUAUAGCCUUUCUUCCCAUCAUGGCUGUUUGAAUCUUUCAGGUUAAUAGCAUGAAUAUUAAAGACUCCAGUGGGACUCUUUAUCCACAAAGGAAAUUGGGAUCAGGUUAAAAAUCCAAUUUUAAUAAACUUUCCAAGUCCUGAUUUAGAUGAGGUACUAAUGGCUCUUACUGCUGAAUCACCUUAAAAGUCAAAUGUAUUUUUAAAAGGGAAGCUUGUUGGGUAUUGUUUAAUUGUGCAUUGCACAUUCCUGUCUUAAUAGAAAAAGAUCAUCUGUAAAACUUAUGAGAGCAGAUAGGAAAUGCCACUAUCCACAGAGCCAGUUGGGUAGAGGGAAGGGCGUUGGGUUUGAAAGAUAAUUUUCACUCGUUUGACCAAAACAAAGAGAGCAUGAUUGCACUGUGUGAAAAUGAUAUCCUCGAAUAACUCCACUAAUUUGAUUGUGCUGAGGUCUAGAAUUGUUUCUAUUUCUUUUGAUUUGCUAAUUAGCUAGAGCAGUCCGCUAGUGAGAGGGGAAAUGAGGGUCACAGCCAUAAAACAAUCCAUCCAUCUAUGACAAAUUGAGUGAUUCUUUUCUGAAAACAGGAUUUUUAAGAUUAUCUACUUUAUGACACCA
rnacentral:lncRNA from 10 species